GAUGAACGCUGGCGGCGUGCCUAAUACAUGCAAGUCGAGCGAACAGACGAGGAUCUUGCUCCUCUGACGUUAGCGGCUGACGUGUGAGUAACACGUGGAUAACCUACCUAUAAUACUGGGAUAACUUCGGGAAACCGGAGCUAAUACCGGAUAAUAUAUUGAACCGCAUGGUUCAAUAGUGAAAUACGGUUUUUCUGUCUCUUAUAGAUGGAUCCGCGCCGCAUUAGCUAGUUGGUAAGGUAACGGCUUACCAAGGCAACGAUGCGUAGCCGACAUGAGAGGGGGAUCGGACAGACUGGAACUGAGACACGGUCCAGACGACUACGGGAGGCAGCAGAAGGGAAUAGUCCGCAAUGGGCGAAAGCAUGACGGAGCAAGGCCGCGUGAGUGAUGAAGGUGUUCGGAUAGUAAAACUCUGUUAUUAGGGAAGAAAAAAUGUGUAAGUAAAUAUGCACGUAUUGACGGUAACUAAUAAGAAAGCAACGGCUAACUACGUG
rnacentral:rRNA from 1 species